UACGUAGGUGGCAAGCGUUGUCCGGAAUUAUUGGGCGUAAAGCGCGCGCAGGCGGUCUUUUAAGUCUGAUGUGAAAGCCCACGGCUUAACCGUGGAGGGUCAUUGGAAACUGGAGGACUUGAGUGCAGAAGAGGAGAGUGGAAUUCCACGUGUAGCGGUGAAAUGCGUAGAGAUAUGGAGGAACACCAGUGGCGAAAGCGGCUCUUUGGCUCGCAACUGACGCUGAGGCGCGAAAGCGUGGGGAGCAAACAGG
rnacentral:rRNA from 1 species